CAUGUCUAUGGACAGCAGUCUCUCCCAAUAUCUAUGGACAGCAGUCUCUCCCAAUGUCUAGUGACAGCAGUCUCUCCCAAUGUCUAUGGACAGCAGUCUCUCCCAAUGUCUAUGGACAGCAGUCUCUCCCAAUGUCUAGUGACAGCAGUCUCUCCCCAUGUCUAGUGACAGCAGUCUCUCCCCAUGUUUAGUGACAGCAGUCUCUCCCCAUGUCUAUGGACAGCAGUCUCUCCCAAUGUUUAGUGACAGCAGUCUCUCCCCAUGUCUAUAGACAGCAG